rnacentral:rRNA from 1 species
GACGAACGCUGGCGGCGUGCCUAAUACAUGCAAGGAGAACGCACAGUUUAUACCGUAGCUUGCUACACCAUAGACUGUGAGUUGCGAACGGGUGAGUAACGCGUAGGUAACCUGCCUGGUAGCGGGGGAUAACUAUUGGAAACGAUAGCUAAUACCGCAUAAUAUUAAUUAUUGCAUGAUAAUUAAUUGAAAGGUGCAAUUGCACCACUACCAGAUGGACCUGCGUUGUAUUAGCUAGUAGGUGAGGUAACGGCUCACCUAGGCGACGAUACAUAGCCGACCUGAGAGGGUGAUCGGCCACACUGGGACUGAGACACGGCCCAGACUCCUACGGGAGGCAGCAGUAGGGAAUCUUCGGCAAUGGACGAAAGUCUGACCGAGCAACGCCGCGUGAGUGAAGAAGGUUUUCGGAUCGUAAAGCUCUGUUGUAAGGGAAGAACGGGUGUGAGAGUGGAAAGUUCACACUGUGACGGUAUCUUACCAGAAAGGGACGGCUAACUACGUG